AGAAAAUUAAAAAGAAAAAAAACUGUUUAUUUGGGUCACAAAACACAGUGUUCUGUGAUCUUGCAAGGUCCUUCUGAUGUACUAUGCCUUCCUCUACACAGUCCAUCUCAACAAGGUUGUAUGCCCGAGUUCUGGCCAGAGCUGCUUGUCAGUCCCUAAGUAUUUUUAGACCUUGGCUGAGUGGUUUCUCUCCUUUUUCAAAAGGGCUGGAUGACAGCUUGCCACUAAGAAUAGCAGUUUUCCAGUUUAAUCAGCAAGUCUCCUGGCUUCAUAACUGUGCUGGCACUCAUGGGGGGUUGACUGGCCACGGUCACCUGUGGAUCCUAAGCCGUCCUUGCCAACACUGGCCAGAUCUGCUGCCCUCUCCACAGCCUGCUCCCCGAGGGCCUGUCAGGACAUGCAAAGGAGGAAUAGAAACAUCUUUUCUCCCAGGAGAGAGAGAAAGAGGGAGAAGUCUGGACCCAGCAUCUUUGGCAGCUCUUCUGAGAUGCUUGAAUCUGCAACACAUGAGAUUGCAGUACAUGGAAAAUUCAGGCUUAAAACUCAUCUUCAAAUCAAGAAUUGAGAGGGGAUCUUCUCAACCCAGGGAUCAAAUCUAUGGCUUCGGUCGCAUCUCCUCCUAUGUCUGUGGCUGCUGCUGCUGCUGCUAAGUCGCUUCAGUCGUGUCCGACUCUGUGCAACCCCAUAGACGGCAGCCCACAGGCUCCCCCAUCCCUGGGAUUCUCCAGGCAAGAAUCCUGGAGUGGGUUGCCAUUUCCUUCUCUGAUGCAUGAAAGUGAAAAGUGAAAGUGAAGUCGCUUAGUCGUGUCCGACUCUUCAAGAUCCCAUGGACUGCAGCCUACCAGGCUCCUCCAUCCAUGGGAUUUUCCAGGCAAGAGUACUGGAGUGGGGUGCCAUUGCCUUCUCCAAUGUCUAUGGCAGACAUGACUAAUUGCUCAUGACUUUCUUUCCCACUAAGCCUAGGCAGAAAUUCAGAAUGUUUUUCAACACCAUGCUAUCAAUGAUUAGGGUUGCCACACAAGAUGAAGCCUAAUUGCUAAUCAGACCUAACAUAAUGCCUGGAGCCGGGUAGCUGCACCAUGAAAUUUUGCUGAUUGAAUAAGUGAAAUGAAAAAAUGUCAUUAGUGAAAUGAAAAAAUAUCAUUAGGUUUCUGGAAAUAAGAAUAGUAAGUUAAUUAAGUAAUACAAAUGCCCAACCAUUGAAACUAGGAAAGGUAUCUAAACGACCAGUUGGCAAGUUCAGGCACGGAACAGGAAGAUCUUCAUGAAAUUCACCCAAACUAGCUCAGCCACGAUGAUGUCACUCAAGUUAUGUCAGAUGUGUUGCUAAAACCAAUUUGGCUGAUCAACAGUGGUGAGUCAUGGUAGAGUGAAAGCUAUUAUGUCAAUAUAGGUUAGCAAGAAGCAGCUGUGCUGUAACUUUGGCAUGCAAGAUCUCCCUAGGAGCUUACAGUUCACAGAUAAGUAUAGGUAGGUGCAUUCAUACAGAACUGAAGUCUCCUCUAAACAUUUUAAAUAAAAUGGGAACAGCAUGUCCUGUUGGAAGUCA
ensembl:lncRNA